UAAACAUCUACUAUAAUUAUAGGAGUUGAGAUCAGAGUCCUUUCUUUCAUGGCUGAGAAAAUUAUAUGGAGUGCUAUAUUCAUUAUCUUGCUUCUCCCUGUUGGGACAGAGUUAGGGGGACUGAAGGGAUUCAUCCGAACCUCCUUAGCAGCGCCACAGUGCCAAGGAAAAUGUGAGGAGUUUCAAGAUUGUGAUGAAUUUUGUAAAAGAAUUGGUUUUGAGUCUGGCAAAUGUGUUCCACCCUUUGAGCAAUUCUGUUGUUGUGAUCCAUAGAAGUAGUUUUUUUAAUUGAAUUUAACUGAUAAUUAUUUUACAUUAUCAGUAUAUGCUA